AUUGAACGCUGGCGGCAUGCCUUACACAUGCAAGUCGAACGGUAACGCGGGGGCAACCCUGGCGACGAGUGGCGAACGGGUGAGUAAUACAUCGGAACGUACCCAGUAGUGGGGGAUAGCUCGGCGAAAGCCGGAUUAAUACCGCAUACGACCUAUGGGUGAAAGCGGGGGAUCGCAAGACCUCGCGCUAUUGGAGCGGCCGAUGUCGGAUUAGCUAGUUGGUGAGGUAAAGGCUCACCGAAGGCUACGAUCCGUAGCUGGUCUGAGAGGACGACCAGCCACACUGGGACUGAGACACGGCCCAGACUCCUACGGGAGGCAGCAGUGGGGAAUUUUGGACAAUGGGCGCAAGCCUGAUCCAGCCAUGCCGCGUGUGUGAAGAAGG
rnacentral:rRNA from 1 species